GAUGAACGCUGGCGGCGUGCCUAAUACAUGCAAGUCGAGCGAACAGACGAGGAGCUUGCUCCUCUGACGUUAGCGGCGGACGGGUGAGUAACACGUGGAUAACCUACCUAUAAGACUGGGAUAACUUCGGGAAACCGGAGCUAAUACCGGAUAAUAUAUUGAACCGCAUGGUUCAAUGGUGAAAGACGGUUUUGCUGUCACUUAUAGAUGGAUCCGCGCCGCAUUAGCUAGUUGGUAAGGUAACGGCUUACCAAGGCAACGAUGCGUAGCCGACCUGAGAGGGUGAUCGGCCACACUGGAACUGAGACACGGUCCGGACUCCUACGGGAGGCAGCAGUAGGGAAUCUUCCGCAAUGGGCGAAAGCCUGACGGAGCAACGCCGCGUGAGUGAUGAAGGUCUUCGGAUCGUAAAACUCUGUUAUUAGGGAAGAACAAAUGUGUAAGUAACUAUGCACGUCUUGACGGUACCUAAUCAGAAAGCCACGGCUAACUACGUG
rnacentral:rRNA from 1 species